CCUCAUGUCUAGUAUAGCAUUUCUACCGCGAAACUGCGAAUGGCUCAUUAAAUCAGUUAUCGUUUAUUUGAUAGUACCUUACUACUUGGAUAACCGUGGUAAUUCUAGAGCUAAUACAUGCUAAAAAUCCCGACUUCGGAAGGGAUGUAUUUAUUAGAUUAAAAACCAAUGCCCUUCGGGGCUCUCUGGUGAUUCAUAAUAACUUCUCGAAUCGCACGGCCUUGCGCCGGCGAUGGUUCAUUCAAAUUUCUGCCCUAUCAACUUUCGACGGCUGGGUCUUGGCCAGCCAUGGUGACAACGGGUAACGGAGGGUUAGGGCUCGACCCCGGAGAAGGAGCCUGAGAAACGGCUACUACAUCCAAGGAAGGCAGCAGGCGCGCAAAUUACCCAAUCCCGACUCGGGGAGGUAGUGACAAUAAAUACUGAUACAGGGCUCUUUUGGGUCUUGUAAUUGGAAUGAGUACAAUUUAAAUCCCUUAACGAGGAACAAUUGGAGGGCAAGUCUGGUGCCAGCAGCCGCGGUAAUUCCAGCUCCAAUAGCGUAUAUUAAAGUUGUUGCAGUUAAAAAGCUCGUAGUUGAACCUUGGGCCUGGCUGGCCGGUCCGCCUCACCGCGUGCACUGGUCCGGCCGGGCCUUUCCCUCUGGGGAACCGCAUGCCCUUCACUGGGUGUGUCGGGGAACCAGGACUUUUACUUUGAACAAAUUAGAUCGCUUAAAGAAGGCCUAUGCUCGAAUACAUUAGCAUGGAAUAAUAGAAUAGGACGUGUGGUUCUAUUUUGUUGGUUUCUAGGACCGCCGUAAUGAUUAAUAGGGACAGUCGGGGGCAUCAGUAUUCAAUUGUCAGAGGUGAAAUUCUUGGAUUUAUUGAAGACUAACUACUGCGAAAGCAUUUGCCAAGGAUGUUUUCAUUAAUCAGGAACGAAAGUUAGGGGAUCGAAGACGAUCAGAUACCGUCGUAGUCUUAACCAUAAACUAUGCCGACUAGGGAUCGGACGAUGUUAUAUUUUGACUCGUUCGGCACCUUACACGAAAGUAAAGUUUCUGGGUCUGGGGGAGUA
rnacentral:rRNA from 1 species